UACGGGGGGGGCAAGCGUUGUUCGGAAUUACUGGGCGUAAAGGGCUCGUAGGCGGCCAACUAAGUCACACGUGAAAUCCCUCGGCUCAACCGGGGAACUGCGUGUGAGACUGGAUGGCUUGAGUUUGGGAGAGGAAUGCGGAAUUCCAGGUGUAGCGGUGAAAUGCGUAGAUAUCUGGAGGAACACCAAUUGCGAAGGCAGCUCGCUGGGACGUGACUGACGCUGAGACGCGAAAGCGUGGGGAGCAAACAGG
rnacentral:rRNA from 1 species